AGAGUGCUUUGCUGAAGCAGAGACCUAUGAGGAAUGUUUUGCUGACCACAGCCAUACGGUGUCUCCUGGCGGCUUCCUGGUGAAAGGUCACGUGAUGUUUUGCUGGAGCCAACACUUGAGAGGUCACGUGAUGUUUGGAGAGCGCAUAAGUAUAGAUAGCCCAACAGAGUGGGUGACCCUCUGGCAUUUGCCACUUUCUGCUGGUCUACGUUGGGCUUUGCUGACACUGGUCUUUGCUGAUGAUGCUAUGAUGGAGAUGUUCCGGCUGUUUCCUUCUGCUUCAGCGGACUCGUGCUAAUCAGUGGAACCUCUCAGUUUUCUCUGGAUCGUGUCACUGCUGCUGAUUUGAGUGGACUGGAUGACUGACAACGAAGAUUGGAACCACCCCAGAGAACUGCUUCUAACCAGGGUGGGGGGAGCCACCGAGCCCGCGCUCCCCCCAGCUCCCAGCAGCCGGGCGCAAAGCAGAUGUUCCACCGCGGACGCGGAGUUGCGCUGAGUCUCGCGCCCCGGAGGCCGCGGUUGCCAUGGCGACGGCCGGGCCGCCUGCUGUCGCGGAGCACGCUGUCUCGCCCGCUCAGUGAUUACCUCCAUCUCUGCAGCGUUCGCCAUACGGCCGGGAUUCUAAUCAGUUCCCCUCCCCCUCCCCUCCUCUGCCCAGCCCACUAUCCCUUAACCCCCCACCCCCGCACCAACGUCUUAGGAACUCAUUAAGCGUUGCGGCUGCAUCCCAGCAAGUGUUCGAGCAAACAGAGAGCUCAGAAGUGUCCUGCGCUCACUUCUCUGUUUAGGAAUGACUGGCUCUAGUGUGGAAAUCGGUCUGCAUCGCCACUCCCCUAGCUAUCUUAGGUACAACUGGGUCUCCAGGGCCCAGCUUCCAACACUGUCCCUGAAGGUUCCACUUUCUGGGUUUUGCAGAGGCAGGUUCCCUAAGGUCCCUGGGGCGCAGUAAGACAGGCUGUCAUAGUUUACCUUUAGGCCAGAGGUUCUCAUCCUGUAGGUCCCGACACUUUUGGGGGUCUAACAAGCCAUUCACUGGGGUCCAAUAUUAGGUAUUCUGCAUAUCAAAUAUUUACAUUACAAUUCAUAGCAGUAGCAAAAGUACAGUUAUGAAGUAGCAGCAAAAAUAAUUUUAUGGCUGAGAGAUCAUCACAACAUUGCAGCUUUAGGAAGAAGGUUAAGAACUGCUCCUCUAGACAGGCAGACAGGCAGACAGGCAGGCCUCUGUCAUUUUGCUUUUGAAGGUGUUGGAAAUGGGGGUGAGGGGUGGGGGCAAAACACAUGGUUUCUGGGUCAUUUAGAGAACCAGGUCUGGCUGUGCCCUUGUGGUAUUUCACACUAAGGAGAAGGUCAGCACGGUGGCUUGGUAUUUAAGCUGAGAACUUUGGAGGUCCAGACAAGUUCAAGGCCAACCUGAACUAUAAAGUCAAACACUGCCCUCCCAGUACCCCACACCCUCCCCCCAAAAAAACCAACAGUCUAAGAGGAGGAAGGAGAAGUCCACUCAAAGCUUACAGACUUGGCCCAUGGUUCUUAAGACCAUUUACCCAUAAUCCCCCACACUAUGACGUUAGUACUCCCAGGCUGAGCUUGCCUUCUUUACCAGUGGUCUCUGAUAUACCCCCAGCUGGUUCUUUUGCACGUACUGCCCCCCCCAAACCAUUCCAAGCUUGAUAGGGAUAAGGACCAACAAUGUUUAGGGAUUUGAGGUGCCUAGAAGUCUUUCUAUUGGGAAGGACGGUCCUCUCCUUGAGACUCUGAGGUUUAGCUGCAAGACCUCAGACAUAACUCUUCUUUUCAAACAUUCCUGGUUUCAGGAGACAUGGGGUAAAAAAGUUUCAGGAGACAUGGAUGGGUGGGGGGUAAAAAAAAAAAAAACAGAAGCCAUGGGCAAGACAGCCCCAAGGGGCCUGAGAGCGAGAGAGAGAGAGAGAGAGAGAGAGAGAGAGAGAGAGAGAGAACUGAGAAUGUAAAAACCAGCAAGGAGGAGAGAUUCCAAGAGCAGACCUCACAUCUCUUCCUAAAUCGCAAACCAGGAAGCCCAAGGUGGUUGAAGGAGGAAAAAUAGUUUUGCUUAAAGAGAAAGGUCACUUGGGGUGAUUUAAAGCAGAAACGUGUAUGUUCUAGUGGAUUAUUGAUGCAGGAAAACAUUGGUGCUUUUAAAGCUCCCACUGUGUGCUCAAAGCCAGCCUCCUCCCAAUGCUUGCCUGCUCCCCAGAGUCUGCUAAAAAUCCUCAUAUUAGACCCCAAGGGUCCUUCGAGAUCUAGAAUGGUCCUUCAUGUUAUAGAUGAGAAGCAGAGACCCAGAGAGAGAUUCUAGCUGGCCUCAGACCCCACAGCUAGCAAACAGUAUAAGGUCUGCCUGGCUGUUACUGCUCUGACGGACAGGGACAGCCGCUGGACCAGGCCCUCUUUCUUCCCGUGGAGGCCGCUGGCUCACUCGCCCGCCAGCCCGCCCCGGAAAGUCCUGGUUUCCAAGAGGCACACUCAGAAUCUCAAACAUCUCAGACCUUUCUAAGCUCCUAGUCACCCCUGUCCCCUGAAGGCCUGUCACCUGAAGACAUCUCCACCAGAGUGACAGCUCUAGCCCUAGAUGGCCUGGGGCCUCUCCCCAGGGGUUGGCGCUGUUUUGCUAUGUAGUCCAGAAUAGCAUCAAAUUCGUGGCUCUCUUCCUGUCUCAGCCUCCAGAAAGCACAUCGCUUCACAGUGUGUUUCAAAGAGGUUGAGGGCAAAGAAACUCGGACCUUUGGGCAGGCUGCUCUGCCCAUUUCUCUCUCCAGGCCUGGCUGGCUCUACCAAUGUUUGAGGCCCUGAGAAGAGCACGGGUGUCGCCUCCCACUCCUCCUGACAGCCGACAAUGAUCCAGUCACAGGGAGCCAUCCAUCAGUGUCGGGGGAAAAGAGUGGCCCUAAGGAUCCUUUCCCGCACACUCUUCGAAGCUGCUGGGUGCGAUGGGCAAGACAAGGAAGGAUGCCAGGGGUGGGCAGACUCGGGAAGGCAAGCCCUGGCUCAGAACUGCGGACGCCCUUCCCGAAAUCCCUCAGGCUCCGGCCAGUGGCCACGAUGAUGAGGCUCUCAUCUCGGAAAAGCUGGUGCAGCGGCCAGGGCUCCGGGCUGUCAGCCAGGCCUGCUGUCUAGGCGGCUCCACCUGGAUGCAGAAAGCGAGGGGGGCAGGGAGACGCAAUAGCCAGAAGACUGGACCUGCAGACUUGGGGUCAUCACCACUAUGGGAGCUCAGCUCAACGCAACCCCCCAGUCGCUGCUUUGCUAAUCCCUCCCUAUGGGAUCAGGGUAGUAGCCUUUAGCCAUAGCAAGUCAAGGAACACUUUCUUGUUACCUUUAACCAUCUGUAGCCUAGGCUGGUCUCAAACACAGUAAAUAGUUAGAAAAUGACUUUCAACUUCUGAUUCUCCAGCCUCCACCUCUCAAGAGACGAGAUUAUAGGCUUGUGUGUUCCACACCCUGUGAGGACCAAGUGCGAGUAAGGAAUUCAGAUAUUGUAGUAUAAUGAGGAGUUUUCUAUCCCCUAUCGAGCGGAAGCUGCGAUAUACUUGUAUAUUCGAAACUUUCAGGGUCUCGGUGUAUCCCUUAAUAGAAUGUGGACAGUAUCGUGUAGUUCAGAGAGUUGUGUGAGCCAGCCUUCCUGGAGCUCCUAGCUUCUGCCUGAUGCUUCCCAUUCCCGUCCUCGCACAACUGAAAUUGCAGGACCAAGUCAGGUCAGGCCGGGUUGCCAGGAGGCAGUUUACUCCUCCGGGCCUUGGCUCCAUCCAUGGUGGAGCCAAGUGCUACGGGUGGCUGAAUAUUUGAGAAAUAAUCCAAAGAAUGUCUUUUCCGUCACCACACUGGCCCCUGAACUGCACAAUUUUAUUGUGCCACCUUCCCCCUCUCUCAGGAUUGCCUUUUUGCAACUCUGGGCUGUGUGCACAGCGACUCUAGAAAGACACUAUAGUAAGCGUUUACAAUGAGUAGAUAAUCAUCCCCGUAUCUUCGUAGAGUUCUCUAAUUACAGACGUAGUCAAAUUCA